UUUUUUUUUUUUUUUUUCUUUUUAGAGCCAUACCUGUAGCAUAUGGAGGUUCCCAGGCUAGGGGUUGAAUUGGACCUAUAGCUGCCGGCCUAUGCCACAGGCACAGCAACACAGGAUCCGAUGCGAGUCUUCGACCUACACCACAGCUCAUGGCAACACCGGAACCUUAACUCACUGAGUGAGAACAGAGAUCAAACCCGCAUCCUCAUGGAUACUAGUGUGGUUCAUAACACACCGAGCCACAAUGGGAACUCCCUAGUUAUGUAACAACUUUUUAAUGUCGUCCUUUCAGAAGUUUAGAUUUCAUAAAUCAGAGUAUUUUAUAGCAAGGAAUUCCUGUCCUAUGGCUUGAGAACUAUUCUUACCUCCUACCACUUUCUCUAUAUAGAUACUAUAGUAAAUAUCUAUAAAUGUCAACAUUUCAUGGUACCAUCACACCCUUGAAAGUUUAUCUGAAUGCAAACCAUUAUGAUUUUAGGGUGAAAAUGACAGAAUCAAGGCUGUGAGUCUACUUACAGAUUUGGGGAAAAAAAAAAAAUCAGAUGCUUGUAGGUAUUGGCCCUUCAAUGGUAAAAUGCCAGCUGCCAACUAGAGUUCUUUUCUAAUUGCCUUUGCGUAUAAUCCACCAAAACACAAAGUUCAGAUCCAGGUAAAAACCCUCCAGUAGUGUAAAAGAGGAGACUAGGAUGAAAGAGUGUAUUUGUAUUGUUGGUGGUUCCAGUGCUUUGACAGGAGCAAGAGUACCUCAAACAGGACACAAUCUAGAUGAAUAGGAAACAUGUUAUCAAAGCAAGCCUUCAAAGGCUGUAUUUGUUGAGAAAUCAUUAGUUAUUUUUAUUCCUAUGAUACAUCUUCUCUGGUGAUGGAAACUCCUUAUUUAUUUAUUUUUUCAGAAACUAAAACACAAAAGGAAACUGAAAAAGCUACAGACUGAUUUGGCAACAGCUAAGCAAGAGGCUGCCAUCACGGUCUUGGAACUCAAUGAGAAGAUAAAGGCUCUAUGUAAAGGAAAGCCAGUCCCUAGAGGUCAGUGUUACCAUGUGACAGUCACACCGUGGUCAAUGGUCUUGGAUGAUGCAUACAGUUUUACUGGCAACAAAGCAAAAGGUAAGGUCACAGUGCCAGGCAGUGUACUGGGCCAGCAGCAUGCUGGCCUGGCCCAACCUCCGUCUGCAUGAUUAGAGACAGCACACAAACUCCUAACUCCAGGCUGGUGGCUUUCCGCAUCUGAGGGGUAGGAGGAUGUAUUGACGGUUGUUUAAAGCAAUGUCUCUGAGGCUGAAGCACUGGACUCAAACACGUCUCUAAGUAUGCUGCUGGGCAGCAGGGGAGGAAAUGCAGGGCCCAGGGGAGGAAAUCUGAGGCUCUAGGGAUGGAGUUCUCAUAGUGGGGCAAGGAGUGGGGCUUACAUAAAAGUGCAGACUGGCCAAUAAGCUAAGACAGGCAUGGGGAAGGAAAGAAAUUCGUGUUGUAACCACAGCCGAAUGAGCCAGAAACAGGCGGGGUAGGUGGGUCGGGAUGAAAUCUGGGUGGUUCAGAAACAUUUAAUAGCUGCUUCGGUUUGGAUUUUUUUUUUAAGUCUUCUCUAAGAUUAUAAACACAUUUGGAGGGCAAGGGGGAACCCAAUGUGAGGGUUAUCAGCACUAAUAUGAGUUAACAUUUAACACUAUUUGUAAGGAAUUUUGCUAAACAUCUCACCUAUACUUAAUUCUCAGAAUAACCUCUGAAGCUAGGGCAUUUAUGGAUUCCACAAGAAUAAGCACAGGCUUAGAGAUGUGGAUUAUUGCCUUGCCCCAGGUCAGGUGUGUGAGCAACACCUGGGCAGUCACCCAGGGCGCCUGCGCAGCUCUGGGGCAGUGAGGCCAUUUCUCUGCUAUGCUGUAGCUACAGUAAAGCUCAUUCUGCCUGGUGGAUCGCUUGCAAAACCAUGGUUCCCUGGGAUGAAUGUCUUCCUUUGAUGUGCGGCACUCUUGUAAAGCCAGGAACAGGCAAUUGUUCUUACUCCGGCUUCCUUUAUUACUCAUAAGUAAUUAUGGAAAAAGAGGAGGAGCAUGGAAAUAGUGUGUGUGGCGGGGCGGGCAGGGGGGACACGUAAGUGAUGCGGUAGCUGCAAAAAGUGAGACACUCCCAGCAUCCUGACCACAUGGGAAAGCGUUUAAGAUGAGUUUACUUUUAACUUUCAUUUUUGAACAGCACUUUCCCGACACUGAAAUGGCACGUGACACAGUCACCUUGAGACACGUGUUUUUCUCUUUCCACAAGCCAACAUAAAGACACUUAAUUUGCUUUUACCACCUUGAAAGCUAAAAGAAUAACCUCCAUUAGAAAAUAUUAUUCAUCUAAAGGUCUUUAUUCUAAGGCAUCAUAGCCAGAUUUCAGGUUGGUUGUACAAUGAGCUGACCGUGAUUGUACAGCACAUUGGAGAAAGUUCUCCAGCUCACCUAAGAGAAGCUUUCAACUUCUCGACUGUAUUUUGAAUCUGGUGGGGGAAAAAAAAUUUUAUUGCAAGGUAUCUAAUUCUCAUUACUCUCAUUUUUGACAAAAAUAAUAUUAUUUGGUAUCAAAUGAUAUUUUUGUCCCUUUGAUGUUUUGACAAGUCAAAGUUAAAAUUAUACUGAAGUACCAGGAUUCUAAUGGUGGUGGAGAGGUUUGAAAACAUUAAAUCCCAACUUUCUUUGUAUUUUUUCCCUGUACAUUUACAUUUAAAAGGAAAAAAACUACCAGUACAGGGAAAACAAAAUAAAACGAAACAACCUAAUGUCUUUUGAACAGACAGACAUAAAUUUUAAAAAAGCCAAGUCCUUCAAGGUCAAUUACAGAUGAAAGGAGUAACUCCAUUUGAACCUACAUGUUGCUUCUUUUACUUGGUGGAGAAACUGAGUCAGCGGAUUGACAUGCAGCACUAAAGUCUUAAACUGAGUAUUUACACAAUCUUACUCUCCCCCGGGUCUCAUACAGCCACACCUCACAUUCAAUGGGCCAGGAGAUAGUCACGGCUGUUGUGGCCCCAGGGUAUUAUUAGCUGUCAUUCUCAGACUUUGGUCACCUUGCUCUACUUCUUAAUUCAUCUGAAAGUAAAGCCUGAAAGGAUGUAGGUAACUUUAACACACAAUGACUCCCAUUUAACCACUGAACAAUUAGAGUUGACCCACCUCCCCCACACAUUCCUUGACCAGAACACCACUCCUUCCCUAGUUAGUCUUGGGUCCUGUUAUAAAAUGUUGGGCUUUGGUUCUCAGACCUCUGUUUGCAAAUGUCAGAUGCCCCCACUCAAAAUAGCUUAAGGAGAACUGGUAAUUUAGUGGCACAAGUGUAAACCGACUAACAAAGGGCAUGCCAUCUGCUUCCGAGUCCCACUGGUCAAGGUCUCAGAUGCCCUCAAGGACACGCUGUGUUUUCUGCUUCUCUCUGCAUUGAGAUGUUCCUUCUCUCCUAUGGGAUGUCAGGAGAGACAGGAAACAUGGCCACAAGCAACUAAGGGCUGCCCUCCUUACCUCCCCUCCAGGAGGAAAAAAAGCAUUUUCCUAUCAGCUCCAGUUUUUUAAAAAAGUAUAAGAAGGAACUCUGACAUGGCUUGGCUUGGGUAUUCAUGAGGGAACAGGAAUCACUCCUCAUGGCCAGGAGUGAGGAAGUAUGGUUGGACAAGCUUCGAUCAUGCACCAGCCACUGAGAAAUCAAGAUGGGAAAGAAGAAUGUGGUGACUCGUGGCUCCCACCAGAAGCCAAGGGCUGGAUUAGAAGAACACUUCCUUCAAGGAAAGGGUACCCAUUGCAGGAAAGACCAACACGUCCAAUACACUCUCAGCUAAUGAUCAAGUUAAAAAUGCAAUAAAAUGGGAGUUCCCGUCGUGGCGCAGUGGUUAACGAAUCCGACUAGGAACCAUGAGGUUGUGGGUUCGGUCCCUGCCCUUGCUCAGUGGGUUAACGAUCCGGCGUUGCCGUGAGCUGUGGUGUAGGUUGCAGAAGCGGCUCAGAUCCAGCGUUGCUGUGGCUCUGGCGUAGGCCAGUGGCUACAGCUCCGAUUCGACCCCUGGCCUGGGAACCCCCAUAUGCCGUGGGAACGGCCCAAAGAAAUAGCAAAAAGACAAAAAAAAAAAAAAAAAUGCAAUAAAAUGCUUCAUGAGUCACCCAUUCAUGAGUAUUUGCACUUUUUAAGUCAAUUCUUCUCGAUGAACAAAGAUUAUGAUCCAAUUCAUCAUCCAAGAAAUAAAUGUCCAACAGCAUAAUUUCAGACCCCGCAGUAGAUGGAGAGUGAACCACUUUGGAAAAGGAGUCCCCUUCCAGCCUCCAUCAGGCGACCUCAUGGUCACCUACUCUGAAGACCUGUCUUUCUAUAGUAAUUGAAACUGCAAGAGGGAGAAAAAGGUGUUGAUUCUAAGUGACAUGUUACGUGGAUUAGCAUAAAGUGACUUCUCUGCUACAGUUACAAAGCAGUGCCUAUAGUGAUCCUAAGCAGAUCAAUGAGAUACAGCCAAAGAAGUUAGAAUUUCAUUUUUAUGCAAAUAUGCAAAAAAAUUUUCCCGGUUUUGCUCAUUUUCUAAGUAAGCCUACAUAUAAGGUUGCUGUUCAGCUCUUCCGAUACGAGGAAUGUCCUAAAAUACAAGGAAUCCUUUUAAGCAUAUUCAAAUUGAUGAAAACAGUGACGGAAUUCAAUGAAAUGCCUAUCGUACCCCUUAAAAACUGGAGUCCACCUUUUGGUAAACCUUAGUGUGCAGGAGCCUAAGGUUACAAUUCAAAACAAUCCUCGCUUCCUUUGGCUUUGGAGCACAAAGUUAGUUUGGGAAAGACCUCUUUUGGAAAAGUCCUGUUGUUGGCACACAAGUGUCAGGUCACCGGCUAGGAUGAAGGCUCCUGUCUCUGGUCACUACAUCAGGGAUCUGGUUUAUAAGACUUCAAGCUAGCAUACUAAAGGGAAUGCACUCUUCUGGGUUUUUGUUUUUGUUUUAUGUUUUUGUCUUUUGAGGGCUGCACCCUCGGCAUUUGGAAGUCCUCAGGCAGGGGUCAAAUCGGAGCUGCAGCUGCCAGCCACAGCCACAGCAACGCAGGAUCUAAGCUGCAUCUGUGAUCUUCACCACAGCUCAGGACAACGCAGGGUCCCCAACCUACUGAUUAAAGUCAGUGAACCCACAUCCUCAUGGAUACUAGUUGGCUUCAUUACCACUGAGCCAGGGAGAGAAAACCUCUUCUAGGAUUUUUGGCCUUUCCUUUCUUUUUUCUUAAUAUGUACAACUAGUAUAUCAAAUAAUGUAUAUCUACCUCCCUCCUUCAAGUUCCCAUUGUGCCCUGAAAGCUGUGUCCCCUCAAGUCAGUGUCUUAGUUUCACUCACAUUAAGAAGACACCCCCUGGGAGUUCCCGGCAUGGCUCAGUGGUAACAAAGCCGACUAGUAUCCAUGAGGACACAGGUUCAAUCCCUGGCCUCAUUCAGUGGUUAAGGAUCUGGUAUUGCCAUCAGCUGUGGUGUAGGUCAGAGAUGUGGCUCAGAUCCAGCAUUGCUCUGACUGUGGCAUAGGCCGGCAGCUACAGCUCCGACACAACCCCUAGCCUGGGAACCUUCAUAUGCUGCAGGUAGAGCCCUAAAAACACAAAAAGAAAAAGAAGAAGACGACGACACCCCCAGGAAGUACAGUUGCAUCCAAUCCAAGGGCAGGUGUACCCAGGACUCAGGGUCUGAAUAGAGUCAGCCACAUUUAUGAGGGAGGCUUGUAAUAAGAUUGAAUUCUCAGUAACACAAAGUUAUUUUAAGCACUAUCCCAUUACUUUUAAGACUCAGACUUGCUGGCCUACACCCUCAAGACAGUCAGGAGACAGAUCUCUUUGUCACAACUCCAGAACCAACUCUAAUCAACAUUCAAGAGAGUAGCUUUUCUCAUGAUGUCCAUCCCCAGGCAUGCAGCCCAACUUUCCCUCCCUCUUUUUAGUUCUCUGCCUGCAAACAUCCUCAGGAUCAAAUCUCCUAUUGCAACUAGAGGUUAAGAAAACAGGGAUUUGAGGGUGAGAAAAAUGUUCUGGAAUAAGAUAGUGGCAACACUUGUACAGCAGGGCCAAUACAGUAAGACCAUUGAACUGUACACUUUAAAGUGGUUAACAUGGUCAAUUUUUUGUUUUGUGAAUUUUAUCUCAGUUAGGGGAAAAAAAAAAAACAAAAAAAA
rnacentral:lncRNA from 1 species